GAUACCUGGACAACACGUGGAAGGUCCCUCUUCGUGCACAGGAGGGGGAAGGCUCAGGCCAGGUGAUCCAGCGUGUCCGUCGCUCCUGGCUGGCGGACUACCUGGGCGACGUGUGGUUUCACUUCUCGGAGAGCUUCCCCAUCGCCGUCCUGUACAUCUUCCCCGUCACCGUGCUGAUCCUGCUCUUCCUCUGCUGCUUCACGUACGUGUGCACGUUGCACACCCCCUGGUGCUCCCGUUCUCAGUGCCCGCUGUCCCAGUACAAGGCAGCAGGGAGGAGCUGCUCCUUGGGCUCCUCGUGUUUUUUAGGGUAGGUAUGGAGUGAGGCGACCUGGAGGACUCUGAGAGAAGCAGCGUGGCUACACUGAGAGAGAUUCUGGUGCCUCGAUGGAGCUCAGCUCAGAGAAGCCUCCGAAACUCCAGGAGCCCCGAAGCGGUGUGGAAGGGCCAGGAGCAGAACCACCUUUCUCUUCCUUUCAGAUGAUUUUAAAGAUUCUCCCGGACAGAAUCUGCCACCCCCAAAUGAAGUUCAGACUUCACCUGAGGCUCUGCUGUCUGAGUUACGGCCAGAACGCAAGAGGUUCAUUGGGGUUCGUAGAAUCGUUAGGGUUGGAAAAGACCCCUCAGAUCCCCAAGUCCAACCCCAGCCCGUCCCACCGUGCCCACCGCAUCCCCACUGUUCUGGAGCACCUCCAGAGAUGAUGACCCCACUGCCCCCCGUGCAGCUGUGCCAAGGCAUCACUGCUCUUUCAGAGAAGCUUUCCCUGAUAUCCAACCUGAACCUCCCCCGGUGCAUCCUGAGGCCGUCACCUCUCAUCCUACUGCUGUUACUCGGGAGAAGAGGCCGACCCUCACCUCACUACAAGCUCAUUUCUGGGAGCUGGAGAGAGCAAAGCAUAGAAUCACAGAAUUGCUCAGGUUGGAAAAGACCUUCGAGAUCAUUGAGUCCAAGCUCAACCCAACCAUACCACCCUAACCCGAACAACCCGCUGCUAAAUGAUGUCCCUGAGCACCACAUCCAGAUGGUUUGCAUCCAGAAGAUCCAGGUUAAUGCCCUGUUGGCCUUUGCAUGUGGUGCAAACGGGGAGUUUAACUCGUAUUUAAGGCUCUGGAGGCCUUUGGUUUGGGCAGCAGUUGAAUCCGAGGUUUCAUGGCAGUAGCGGUGUUCGAUGCUUUGUUAGGGCAAUCAUUUCACGUGGCUGGAGGAAUUUUGGGGCAGUGUAAUUGCUGGGCGGUGUGUGAGGUGGAAGAACAGCCAAAGAGGGACGGCACUGUGCUGACUGCGGCUGCUGGCUCACCUCCCGCUUGGUAAGCCCACGGAUAACGACUCAUCUGGGGCACAACCCUCAGGCCCGCGCGCCCCUCGAGGCCGCCGCGCAGGCCGCCCC
ensembl:lncRNA